ACACGUGGGCAAUCUGCCCUGCACUCUGGGACAAGCCCUGGAAACGGGGUCUAAUACCGGAUACUGAGCUACUUGGGCAUCCAAGUGGUUCGAAAGCUCCGGCGGUGCAGGAUGAGCCCGCGGCCUAUCAGCUUGUUGGUGAGGUAAUGGCUCACCAAGGCGACGACGGGUAGCCGGCCUGAGAGGGCGACCGGCCACACUGGGACUGAGACACGGCCCAGACUCCUACGGGAGGCAGCAGUGGGGAAUAUUGCACAAUGGGCGAAAGCCUGAUGCAGCGACGCCGCGUGAGGGAUGACGGCCUUCGGGUUGUAAACCUCUUUCAGCAGGGAAGAAGCGAAAGUGACGGUACCUGCAGAAGAAGCGCCGGCUAACUACGUGCCAGCAGCCGCGGUAAUACGUAGGGCGCAAGCGUUGUCCGGAAUUAUUGGGCGUAAAGAGCUCGUAGGCGGCUUGUCACGUCGGUUGUGAAAGCCCGGGGCUUAACCCCGGGUCUGCAGU
rnacentral:rRNA from 1 species